UACGUAGGGUGCAAGCGUUAAUCGGAAUUACUGGGCUUAAAGGGUUUGUAGGCGGCCAUGUAAGUCAGGUGUGAAAUCCCUCGGCUUAACCGGGGAACUGCGUCCGAUACUGGUUGGCUUGAAUCCGGGAGAGGGAUGCAGAAUUCCAGGUGUAGCGGUGAAAUGCGUAGAUAUCUGGAGGAAUACCGGUGGCGAAGGCGGCAUCCUGGACCGGCAUUGACGCUGAUGAGCGAAAGCUAGGGGAGCAAACGGG
rnacentral:rRNA from 1 species